UGGUAGAUGCACCCUGAUAACUAACUCCCCUAGUUGGCUUACACUGACUGGGGGCUUUUUUU
rfam:Nostoc sp. NIES-3756 DNA, complete genome.